UACGUAGGGUGCAAGCGUUGUCCGGAAUCAUUGGGCGUAAAGCGCGCGUAGGCGGCCCGAUAAGUCCGCUGUGAAAGUCAACGGCUCAACUGUUGAAAGCCGGUGGAUACUGUCGGGCUAGAGUACGGAAGAGGCAAGUGGAAUUCCUGGUGUAGCGGUGGAAUGCGCAGAUAUCAGGAGGAACACCGAUAGCGAAGGCAGCUUGCUGGGACGUUACUGACGCUAAGGCGCGAAAGCGUGGGGAGCGAACAGG
rnacentral:rRNA from 1 species